UACGAAGGGGGCUAGCGUUGUUCGGAAUUACUGGGCGUAAAGCGCACGUAGGCGGAUAUUUAAGUCAGGGGUGAAAUCCCAGAGCUCAACUCUGGAACUGCCUUUGAUACUGGGUAUCUCGAGUAUGGAAGAGGUGAGUGGAAUUCCGAGUGUAGAGGUGAAAUUCGUAGAUAUCGGAGGAACACCAGUGGCGAAGGCGGCUCACUGGUCCAUUACUGACGCUGAGGUGCGAAAGCGUGGGGAGCAAACAG
rnacentral:rRNA from 1 species